rnacentral:tRNA from 1 species
UGUAGCUCAGUGGUAGAGUACAUGCUUAGCAUGCCUGAGAACGUAGAUUUGAUCCCUACCA